CGGAAGAACAGAUCAGGUAGGAAUACCCGCUGAACUUAAGCAUAUCAAUAAGCGGAGGAACGACUCU
rnacentral:rRNA from 1 species